rnacentral:rRNA from 1 species
AUGAAAGCAGAUAAGAUAUCACAAACACUCAUUGAUCAAACUCCGUCAGGAGAAUUGCUGUUGUUCAAACUUAAGAGCAUCAGUCAUUCAUCAUCUACUGAUCCAAACUUGUCAAUAGCCGUUUGCUUUACGAAGUUCAGAUGGAAAGUUGCAAAAAUAGAAAUAAUAAAGCACUGUAAACAUCAAGCAACAACUAACGAAUCAAAAGAAGGCAUGCAUUCCAAAACAAUCAGCCCACACAAAUCAAUAGCUAAAAUGGAAGUUACAGGAACAUGGAAGAACAGAAGAUGGAUAAAGUUUUCUGAAGCUGCAAAGCACAAAUCCUGUACUAUACUAAAGGCUGACCCAGGUUAUGAAUAA